UUUAACAUUAGCUUCUGCUAAGUAGCACGUUGGUAUAGCGCAUUAACUGCUGGUAAAUACCUUGUUGGUAGCUAUUUCACUUUAGCUUCCUCUAAAUACUAUGUUGGUUUAGGGCUUUAGCAUUAGCAUAGACAAUGUUUAUGAUUAGUGCUUUAGGGUUGGCGCAGCUAGAUUUUUACUUGGCAGUGUGAAACUGCCAAUCGCUCCAUGCUAGCUCACAUCAGAGCCAGAGAGAUUCGUCGUCUCCAUGACAACACCCUAAGAUGAACAAACCGGACCCGGAUUAGUCCAACCGAACCAGGAAGUUCAGGCAAGAGCAUGAAAAGCAGAUGGAGAACAAAGACUGUGUUUCCAGUUGCUACAGCAACGGUGAGGACGGUGGUCAGAGCCACAGCAGAAGGUCAGAGGGUUUACAUUAAGUUCAUUUUUCAGCAGGAAGUCAGUACCUGCAGACAGGAAGUGGAACAAUCUGGGUCAGAAUCAGCCUGACGAGCCUUCAGCUGGACUUUUAGGGUGGAGACGGAUGGACAGUCAGUCAGUGAAUCAGUUAAGUGAAUCAGUGAUUCAGUUAGUGAAUCAGUGAUUCAGUCAGUCAGUCGGUUUGGUUCUGCUGCAGCGGUCCAGUAACCAGCGGCUCGCCCUCCAGGCUCUGAUCAUUCCCAGAACCGGAUCAUGAAUUAUGGAGAAGCUCUUGUGACUCCGUCUCUUUAAGGUUAGCGUCGCUCUCUCUCUGACCGCCUCUCUCUGCCUCUGACACACACUGUCUCCAUGGCAACGCCCUUAAAGGGCCACACCACCCUGUGUCGUCCAGCCGGUGACUGCUGAGGCUCCAUCAAUCUGCAGCUGAUCCAUUUACAUGCAUCGAAAUGCUGCGACAUGAUUGGCUGAUUCGCCGGUUAUCUAACAGUUUUUAUGAGUUAAGGAAGGAGGGAGGGAGGAAAGAGAGAAGGAAGGAAGGAAGCAUAGAAGGAAGGAAGGAUUUUCCAUAUUAUCAUUUAAAUCCCGUCAGGAAGGUUAGCGUUAAUAAAAAUAUAGUCCAAGUAUUUUCUCCUGUAGACGAGGAUGUUUGUCAGAGGAAUAAAUGAAAGCGCAGCAGCUAAUUUAGCGUCUCCAGAGUCUGUCAGCACUUUGUGUUGAUGAGUUUCUCUGCAGCGGCGGAUUCGCUCCAGAGACGCCGUCCUGUUCGCUUCCUGGCCUCAUAAAGUCUGUCUCUGGGAGGAAGCGUCGGCUCGGCCUGGAUCUGGGGAAACGAGUCUGUUCUGCCACGUCCCGGUUGUUUCUGGGCCGUUUCUGCGCUAACGGUCCAGACUGACUGCUGCUGCUGAAACCGUGGAGAGGUUUUCAUUAUGUAGAGUCACUUUGUGCUUCACAGAGACGAAUGUUUACUUUAAUAUGACAAACUAAGCUAACCGAGCUAAACUGCUGAGUCAGGCCCAUCGUCUCCACCCAGAAGAAAAGCAACAUUAUGGAUGGAUGUUCCUCUCACUAAUGGACUCUGACUCUAUUAGGACAGUCGGUAAUAUUCCCUAUCUGAAGCAUUAGGAGGGAUUAGCGAACAUUAGCCUCUCUGUAUGAAUCUGAACGCUUUAUUUACUCUGCUGCGGUUCGUCUGUCUGAAGGAGGAUCUGUUGGUGUACAGGAAUAUUCUGGAAGGAUGUGGAAAACUGUUCCCAACUAAAAAUCUGAACAUUAUUUUCGCAGUUAAGGUUUGUAAGUGAUGCAGAACUAUAUGGUUAACAUUUUUAAUUAUUUAUGGUAAAUUUAAUAUUCACACCUCCAAACAAUUUCAAUUAUAGGACUAGCUGUUAAAAUUAAGCUUAAAUGCUAAACAACUUUAUUCAAUUGAAAGAUUUACAAAACAGCAAAGCUACAGUUUAAUAAAGAUUAGAGCUUAAAAUUUAUCUGGAAAAUGUGUUUAGGGGAAGCUGAGUGUGCUAAAUGUUUUCAAAGCUAGCUAAAGCACAGAAUAAAAAAUUAGCUCCACUAUUAGCAACUGGAUCAAGCAAUGUGAAGAUGGUACAUAACUAUAAGUCAAUUAAAUAACCUAAGUUGUGAAUUUUAAUUGUUUAUGUUGAGAAUUAUAGAAUAAACAUUGAAUCCUUACAAACUGCCUUGUUGUGUAUUAGCUUGCUAGCCUGUUAGCUUCAAAAGCUAACACUGAUGUUCUCAGAGGAUUUUCCGUCAGCAAAAUUAUCAGAACAAAUUUCAAACAAUUUAACAUUUCAGUACAAACCUAAUAUUUCAGAUU